UACGUAGGGUGCGAGCGUUGUCCGGAAUUAUUGGGCGUAAAGAGCUCGUAGGCGGUUUGUCGCGUCGGCCGUGAAAACUUGGGGCUUAACCCCAAGCCUGCGGUCGAUACGGGCAGACUUGAGUUCGGCAGGGGAGACUGGAAUUCCUGGUGUAGCGGUGAAAUGCGCAGAUAUCAGGAGGAACACCGGUGGCGAAGGCGGGACUCUGGGCCGAUACUGACGCUGAGGAGCGAAAGCGUGGGGAGCAAACAGG
rnacentral:rRNA from 1 species